GUUCCUACGGGAGGCAGCAGUGAGGAAUAUUGGUCAAUGGCCGUAAGGCUGAACCAGCCAAGUAGCGUGAGGGAAGACUGCCCUAUGGAUUGUAAACCUCUUUUGUCAGGGAGCAAAGGGCGCCACGUGUGGCGUUUUGCGAGUACCUGAAGAAAAAGCAUCGGCUAACUCCGUGCCAGCAGCCGCGGUAAUACGGAGGAUGCGAGCGUUAUCCGGAUUUAUUGGGUUUAAAGGGUGCGCAGGCGGGCUGUUAAGCCGGCGGUAAAAAUUCAGGGCUCAACCC
rnacentral:rRNA from 1 species